UUUGCUCAGUUUCGGAUUUUUUUUUUCAAGUGGUGAUCAUUGCAGGAAAAAGCUAGUUUCGGUCUUCGAAUAUGUCCCUGGCAAAAGGAUCGAAAGCUUUACGAGCACUGCAGUACACAUUUUUCAGAACGGAUGGAAAUCGGGUGGAGGAUUCAUCCCAGGAUGGCAAUCGGAAUCCCGACUCAGGAACGGAGACCGGAGCGAGAAUGAUGCGAAAAUUUGCGAAGCAUGCCUCGGAAAGUGCAUCAAAACUGCAUUUUUAUCAUCAACCGAACUGUAUACUACACAAGCAAUCAACUGAUUACAACAAUAAUUAUUGUCAGCUUUCAUGAUGAAAAAUCGGAAAACGGGGCUUAUCAUUGGACAGCUGUUCCUUCAGACCAAUUUCCAUCGAAGCGUAUGAGUUGCUAGCUAAAUUCGAGAGAUGGAUAAACUUAUAAAAAAAACUUUCAGCUAUCUGCAUCAAUCGGUUGAGAUUCAUUAUUUUUACAUACUUUGAGAAAAAUGGUACCAUAAACGAUACUAUUACUUUGGCGCGACAUCAGGCUCAAUCAGAUACCAGUCGAUGGCCAACUAUUGCAACAGAAAGAAGCGAAGUACUUGAGCCAAAAGGAAAUGGAUGCCCCGGAAGAAUGAUAGCUAAUAGAGCCAAG